CUCUUGGAUAUCCUUUUCUUGCCUCUGGGGGAAGAUGAGGAGUAUGGCAACCCCUGCCCACACUGCUGCUGAAUAUUAACAACUCGACUGGCUUGAAGACCUGCCUGUGUCCAGCCCAGCACGACGCCGGGGCUCCGGGCCGCCCUGUGCUGGGUGCUGCGGAAGGAAGCCUGAAGCAGCUGUCAGUCAACUUGGACCAGCAGCGCCCUGGACUCUCUCAGCUAUAUUUCUGCAGGCUCCACAGUAGCGCUGGCCAGAAGCUGCUGCAGAAGCUGUGAGUGACCGA
rnacentral:lncRNA from 1 species